rnacentral:rRNA from 1 species
UCUUGGAUGGAGAAGCUCUGAACAGCCCGCCGCGUGCGGGGAAGAAGGCCUUCGGGUGUGUAAACCGCUUUCAGCAGGAACGAAAAUGACGGUACCUGCAGAAGAAGGAGCGGCCAACUACGUGCCAGCAGCCGCGGUGACACGUAGGCUCCAAGCGUUGUCCGGAUUUAUUGGGCGUAAAGCGCACGUAGGUGGGUCGUUAAGUCGGGGGUGAAAUCCCGGAGCUCAACUCCGGAACUGCCUUCGAUACUGGCGACCUUCGAGUCCGGGAGAGGUGAGUGGAACUGCGAGUGUAGAGGUGAAAUUCGUAGAUAUUCGCAAGAACACCAGUGGCGAAGGCGGCCCACUGGCCCGGUACUGACACUGAGGUGCGAAA